GAUGAACGCUAGCGGGAGGCCUAACACAUGCAAGCCGAGCGGUAGAGUCUCUUCGGAGACUUGAGAGCGGCGCACGGGUGCGGAACACGUGUGCAACCUGCCUUUAUCUGGGGGAUAGCCUUUCGAAGGGAAGAUUAAUACCCCAUAAUAUACUGGAUGGCAUCAUCUGGUAUUGAAAACUCCGGUGGAUAGAGAUGGGCACGCGCAAGAUUAGAUAGUUGGUGAGGUAACGGCUCACCAAGUCAGCGAUCUUUAGGGGGCCUGAGAGGGUGAUCCCCCACACUGGUACUGCGACACGGACCAGACUCCUACGGGAGGCAGCAGUGAGGAAUAUUGGACAAUGGGUGAGAGCCUGAUCCAGCCAUCCCGCGUGAAGGACGACGGCCCUAUGGGUUGUAAACUUCUUUUGUAUAGGGAUAAACCUAGAUACGUGUAUCUAGCUGAAGGUACUAUACGAAUAAGCACCGGCUAACUCCGUG
rnacentral:rRNA from 1 species